rnacentral:rRNA from 1 species
GACGAACGCUGGCGGCGUGCCUAACACAUGCAAGUCAGGGAGAAAGAGGUAGCAAUAUCUCGAGUAAACCGGCGAACGGGUGAGUAACACGUAGGUAACCUGCCCUCGAGUUGGGAAUAACUUCGAGAAAUCGAGGCUAAUACCGGAUAAUGCAACGAACUCGCAUGGGUUUGUUGUUAAAGUUCCGCGCAAGCGGAACGCUUGAGGAUGGACCUGCGGCCGAUUAGCUAGUUGGCGGAGUAACAGCCCACCAAGGCGACGAUCGGUAGCCGACCUGAGAGGGGUGACCGGCCACACUGGGACUGAGAUACGGCCCAGACUCCUACGGGAGGCAGCAGUGAGGAAUCUUGCGCAAUGGGCAAAGCCUGACGCAGCGACGCCGCGUGAGGGAUGACGGCCUGG